rnacentral:lncRNA from 1 species
GUCGGAGUACAUAGAACAGCUGAGGUAGCGUUCAGUUUCAGCCCCCAUGCCAUUAUGAUGGAUGUUUACAUCUCUACAUUGAGAGCCAAUUAUCUCGCUUUUGUGUGAGGCCCAAGGAUCACUCAUGCUGCCUGGCUGCACAGAGCACUGUUGGAUCUAGCCGAACGAAUUGUUUUCUGUCUCUGGGUAUAAGCAGUUUCUAUACACAAUAGAUUAUGACAACUUCUUCUUUAAGGUGAGAUCCAAUGUCAUUCACAGGGGUAUUCAGAAGUGCUAAAAAUAUU